UACGAAGGGUGCAAGCGUUACUCGGAAUUACUGGGCGUAAAGCGUGCGUAGGUGGUUGUUUAAGUCUGUUGUGAAAGCCCUGGGCUCAACCUGGGAAUUGCAGUGGAUACUGGGCGACUAGAGUGUGGUAGAGGGUAGUGGAAUUCCCGGUGUAGCAGUGAAAUGCGUAGAGAUCGGGAGGAACAUCCAUGGCGAAGGCAGCUACCUGGACCAACACUGACACUGAGGCACGAAAGCGUGGGGGGCAAACAGG
rnacentral:rRNA from 1 species